UCCAAAAAAGAGCAUCUGAUAUACCUGGCUUCAGGAAAAAGAAUGUUGUAACUGAAGACCAGGGCAUAGUUAGCAAAUUAGGCAUCUAUCACCUUUGUUUGGUAUACAUAUGCAAUCUGAGUAUGAAUCUUUUCUUACGUACAUUAUGUUAUAGUAAUGUUUUAAAGGAGAAGGAUGACCACUUAUUCAAAUUGUAGAAACACUAAAAUUGAGAGUUUGGAUUAUGAGGCAUUGUAUAUAAACUACAAAGGCCAUUCAAACUUCACAAGUAAUCAAUACUACAGUCCCCAGCGCAACCUACGUUAAGUAGAAUACCUCACAUCUUGAACCAGUCCUCACACCAUCAGGCCACAAGGUAAACACAAAAUGGCUUACAGGUUUUUAUCCAUAGUGCAACAGCAGAUCACGAUAUUAAUUCUCCAAAAUUAACUCUAAAACAACAUUUUUCCAGACCCAUUAUAGUAAUUGGGAGAUAUAUUACACCACCUAAGGAUAUGACUGACCAAUUCUCAACUGUCAGCCAUCCACCUAAGACUCAAUUUCUAAAUAAUCCUUUUUUUAUACUACUUAAUCAACACUCAGCAUGAUCAUAAUUCAUAUCAUACAUUUGAAACUCAUAAGAUGAUAUUUAACAAAAACUAAACAAAUUCCACUUGGCUGUAAACAAAU
rnacentral:misc_RNA from 1 species